GGAUUGAGCGGGCUCGCGGCGCUGGGUUCCUGGUCUCCGGGCCAGGGCAAUGUUCCGCACGGCAGUGAUGAUGGCGGCCAGCCUGGCGCUGACCGGGGCUGUGGUGGCUCACGCCUACUACCUCAAACACCAGUUCUACCCCACUGUGGUGUACCUGACCAAGUCCAGCCCCAGCAUGGCAGUCCUGUACAUCCAGGCCUUUGUCCUUGUCUUCCUUCUGGGCAAGGUGAUGGGCAAGGUGUUCUUUGGGCAACUGAGGGCAGCAGAGAUGGAGCACCUUCUGGAACGUUCUUGGUACGCCGUCACAGAGACUUGUCUGGCCUUCACCGUUUUUCGAGAUGACUUCAGCCCCCGCUUUGUUGCACUCUUCACUCUUCUUCUCUUCCUCAAAUGUUUCCACUGGCUGGCUGAGGACCGUGUGGACUUUAUGGAACGCAGCCCCAACAUCUCCUGGCUCUUUCACUGCCGCAUUGUCUGUGAGUGAGAUUCAGGGGAGGGGAGGGGAGGACUGGAACGUGAACCGUGGACCUGUACUCCAGAGCACAGGCUACCCCUGACAGCUGUACAGGAAAGAUAAUUUAGGAAGUUAAUUUGCAUAGUCUCUGUCCUGUUCCACUCUAGGGCUUCUCAACUGCCUGGGCCUUCAGCCCUUUGCCUUCUCACCUGCAGCCUGGGCAGCCCCAAUGACUCCCCUCCCCCAGGAAGUUCCCAGAGGGCCAGGUUCAGUGGAGUGUGCCCACCUGACUAGAUCGCUGGGGCCAUGGUGGGCUUGAGGGUGGGGCUGUCCUAGAGCAUUAAACAGCUGUUGGGCCCUGGGCUGACCCCCCUACCCUGCAUGUGUGGGGGUCCCCACAGCUCUUAUGUUCCUCCUGGGCAUCCUGGACUUCCUCUUCGUCAGCCACGCCUAUCACAGCAUCCUGACCCGUGGGGCUUCUGUGCAGCUGGUGUUUGGUUUUGAGUAUGCCAUCCUGAUGACGAUGGUGCUCACCAUCUUCAUCAAGUAUGUGCUGCACUCCGUGGACCUCCAGAGUGAGAACCCCUGGGACAACAAGGCUGUGUACAUGCUCUACACAGAGCUGUUUACAGGCUUCAUCAAGGUUCUGCUGUACAUGGCCUUCAUGACAAUCAUGAUCAAGGUGCACACCUUCCCACUCUUCGCCAUCCGGCCCAUGUACCUGGCCAUGAGGUGAGCCCGGCCCUGUCCCCCGAUCCUCCUGACCUGAUCCCGUCCCUUCUCCUGCUUUCACUGACUGUCCUUUCAGACAGUUCAAGAAAGCUGUGACAGAUGCCAUCAUGUCUCGCCGAGCCAUCCGCAACAUGAACACCCUGUAUCCAGAUGCCACCCCAGAGGAGCUCCAGGCAAUGGACAAUGUCUGCAUCAUCUGCCGAGAAGAGAUGGUGACUGGUGCCAAGAGACUGCCCUGCAACCACAUUUUCCAUACCAGCUGCCUGCGCUCCUGGUUCCAGCGGCAGCAGACCUGCCCCACCUGCCGUAUGGAUGUCCUUCGUGCAUCACUGCCAGCCCAGUCACCACCACCCCCGGAGCCUGCGGAUCAGGGGCCACCCCCUGCCCCCCACCCACCACCACUCUUGCCUCAGCCCCCCAACUUCCCCCAGGGCCUCCUGCCUCCUUUUCCUCCAGGCAUGUUCCCACUGUGGCCCCCCAUGGGCCCCUUUCCACCUGUCCCACCUCCCCCCAGCUCAGGAGAGGCUGUGGCCCCUCCUUCCACCAGUGCAGGUGAGCCUUUGGGUACUGUGACAGCCAGGGGGUGGCAGGGAUGGAACACUCACUGACUUCUUGUUCCUGCUCUUCAGCAGCCCUUUCUCGGCCCAGUGGAGCAGCUACAACCACAGCUGCUGGCACCAGUGCUGCUGCUGCUUCUGCCACAGCAUCUGGCCCAGGCUCUGGCUCUGCCCCAGAGGCUGGCCCUGCCCCUGGUUUCCCCUUCCCUCCUCCCUGGAUGGGUAUGCCCCUGCCUCCGCCCUUUGCCUUCCCCCCAAUGCCUGUGCCACCUGCGGGCUUUGCGGGGCUGACCCCAGAGGAGCUACGAGCUCUGGAGGGCCAUGAGCGGCAGCACCUGGAGGCCCGGCUGCAGAGCCUGCGUAACAUCCACACACUGCUGGACGCCGCCAUGCUGCAGAUCAACCAGUACCUCACCGUGCUGGCCUCCUUGGGGUGUGUCUGUACAGGGGAAGCAGAGUGGGUUUGGUGGGUCAGGAGUGGAGCUGCCAAGAGGUCCCCAGCAGUGGUUCUUGGCCUUUGACACCUGCCAAUUCAGGCUGCCCUACCUACAGGCCCACCAAGGGUCUCCAGGAGUUCUUGGUAACUCCUGGUGCCUGUAUUUCCUACUCCAGAAAGCACGUCUGGAUCUAAGUAGGAGUGUUUAUUCGAGAGCUGACUUUAGAUCUUACUCGUUUUUAUUUUUCUAAAGUCAAAUUAUUCAGAAUUUGCAGUGCUUUAGUUCAUCACAUGAUAUCCUCCUGAGGUGUGGUGACACUUAGAUUGGCAAUUGCUGCCCCCAAACUGAGGGGGAGCGAAUAAUAGGAAGUCACUUGGAGCCAUGCUGGCCCAAGUUCAAGCGCUGGUCCCAUCACUCGUUUUUGACCUCUUGUUAUUUGAAUAAAGAGGUCUUAAUUCAUAUUCAUAAGUGAUGUGUACGGCCAGAUACACACCUAUAAUCAGCACUUUGGAAGGCUGAGGCAGGAGGAUGUUUGAGCCUAGGAGUUUGAGGGUGCAGUGAGCUAUGAUUGUGCCACUAAAUUCCAGCUUUGGUGACAGAGCCGAGACCCUGUCUUUUAAAAAAGUGACAUGUACAUAAUGCCUGGCAUCUAGCAGUGACAGCACAGGCUUGGAGAGGAACUUGAGUCCAAGGCUUGAGCACUGUGGCUUAUUGAGUGAGUGCCCUGUAAGGUGCCUGACUCCCCAGGGUGGAGACUGCAGGGUAAGAGUGAACAGGUCAACAGUCCCUGCCUGCAAGCACCUUACAGCUAAGGGAUAGAAUCUCUUGGCCCUUGAGUUGAGUCACCCUGUCUGAGUUCAUUCAGCAUGUUCACUUGUGUUUGCCAGGCACUGGGGCCACAAGGGCACAUCAUUCUAUACUCUGUUCUGCAAGGCUCACCAAGGGCAGGACAAUCUGCCCAACCUAGGAUGCCAAGGCCAGGCCCGCCUCUCGUCCCUUCUCUUCCCAGGCCCCCCCGGCCUGCCACUUCAGUCAGCUCCGCUGAGGAGACUGCCACUACAGUUGUUGCUGCUGCCUCCUCCACCAGCAUCCCUAGCUCAGAGGCCACGACCCCAACCCCAGGAGCCUCCCCACCAGCCCCUGAAACGGAAAGGCCUCCAGGUAGGUGUGAUUGACCUCCAGCUGGGGGAGCAGGGAACUUCUCUAGGUUCCACUUCCAGUCUCUCUGUCCCCAGCUCCUGAGUCAGUGGGCACAGAGGAGAUGCCCGAGGAUGGAGAGCCUGAUGCAGCAGAGCUCCGCCGGCGCCGCCUGCAGAAGCUGGAGUCUCCUGUUGCCCACUGACACUGCCCCAGCCCAGCCCCAACCCCUGCUCUUUUGAGCAGCCCUCGCUGGAACAUGUCCUGCCACCAAGUGCCAGCUCCCUCUCUGUCUGCACCAGGGAGUAGUACCCCCAGCUCUGAGAAAGAGGCAGCAUCCCCUAGGCCAAGUGGAAAGAGGCUGGGGUUCCCAUUUGUCUCCAGUCCCAGGCAGCCAUGGGGAUCUCGGGUCAGUUCCAGCCUUCCUUUCCAACUCUUCAGCCCUGUGUUCUGCUGGGGCCGUGAAGGCAGAAGGUUCAGCCUCUGAGAAGCCCUCUUCUUCCCCCACCCCUUUCCGGGAGAAGGGGCAGCCCCUCCAAGCCCUACUUGUAUGUGCGGAGUCACAUUGCAGAGUGCCGAACAGUAUUAGCUCCCGUUCCCAAGUGUGGACUCCAGAGGGGCUGGAGGCAAGCUAUGAACUUGCUCCCUGGCCCACCCCUGAGACUGGUACCCAUUUCCUUUUCUUACCCUGAUAUCCCCAGAAGCCUCGCGUGGUGGUGGCUGUGCCCCCUAUGCCCUGUGGCAUUUCUGCGUCUUACUGGCAACCACACAACUCAGGGAAAGGAAUGCCUGGGAGUGGGGGUGCAGGCGGGCAGCACCGAGGGACCCUGCCCCGCCCCUCCCCCCAGGCCCCUUUCCCCUGCAGCUUCUCAAGUGAGACUGACCUGGCUCACCCAGCAGCCACUGCCCAGCCGCACUCCAGGCAAGGGCCAGUGCGCCUGCUCCUGACCACUGCAAUCCCAGCACCCAAGGAAGGCCACUUCUCAACUGACAGAACUUCCGAAGUUUAGAAUUGGAAUUACUUCCUUACUAGUGUCUUUUGGCUUAAAUUUUGUCUUUUGAAGUUGAAUGCUUAAUCCCGGGAAAGAGGAACAGGAGUGCCAGACUCCUGGUCUUUCCAGUUUAGAAAAGGCUCUGUGCCAAGGAGGGACCACAGGAGCUGGGACCUGCCUGCCCCUGUCUUUUCCCCUUGGUUUUGUGUUACAAGAGUUGUUGGAGACAGUUUCAGAUGAUUAUUUAAUUUGUAAAUAUUGUACAAAUUUUAAUAGCUUAAAUUGUAUAUACAGCCAAAUAAAAACUUGCAUUAAC
rnacentral:sRNA from 1 species